UACGUAGGGGGCUAGCGUUGUCCGGAAUCAUUGGGCGUAAAGCGCGCGUAGGCGGCCCGGUAAGUCCGCUGUAAAAGUCAAAGGCUCAACCUUUGAAUGUCAGUGGAUACUGCCGGGCUAGAGUCCGGAAGAGGCGAGUGGAACUCCUGGUGUAGAGGUGAAAUUCGUAGAUAUUGGGAAGAACACCGGUGGCGAAGGCGGCGCUCUGGACCGAGACUGACGCUGAGGCGCGAAAGCGUGGGGAGCGAACGGG
rnacentral:rRNA from 1 species